UCAGUCGGCCGGACGGCCGUCCCGCGCCAAUGCCGAAAGGCGGCCGGGGAGGAAAGUCCGGGCUCCAUGGACGAACGGUGCCGGAUAACGUCCGGCGGGGUGGAUCUCCGCAAUCGCUGGGAUAAACCUCAGGGACAGUGCCACAGAGAACAGACCGCCGCGGCUGCGUAAUGUUUUGGCCACGGUAAGGGUGAAACGGUGCGGUAAGAGCGCACCGCGCUGCCGGCAACGGCGGCGGCACGGCAAACCCCACCGGGAGCAAGACCGAAUAGGAAUGACGUUGACGCGCAAGCGCCAGGUCCGUCCGGGCCAGUCAUUCGGGUAGGUUGCUUGACGCGCCGGGUAACCGGCGUGCCAGAGGAAUGGCCGUCACGUAUGCCUAGGACGGCAUGCCUUACAAAACCCGGCUUAUAGGCCGGCUGAUAUA
rnacentral:RNase_P_RNA from 1 species